rnacentral:tRNA from 1 species
AUAUAAGAAGUAAAUAUUACUUUUAAUUUCGGCUUAAAUAUAGAUUUUUUUUAAAAAAUCCUUAUAUA